rnacentral:rRNA from 1 species
GCCCAGACUCCUACGGGAGGCAGCAGUGGGGGAUAUUGCACAAUGGGGGAAACCCUGAUGCAGCGACGCCGCGUGGGUGAAGAAGCGCCUCGGCGCGUAAAGCCCUGUCAGCAGGGAAGAAAAUGACGGUACCUGAAGAAGAAGCCCCGGCUAACUACGUGCCAGCAGCCGCGGUAAUACGUAGGGGGCAAGCGUUAUCCGGAUUUACUGGGUGUAAAGGGGGCGCAGACGGCGAUGCAAGCCAGGAGGGAAAGCCCGGGGCCCAACCCCGGGACUGCUCUUGGAACUGCGUGGCUGUAGUGCAGGAGGGGCAGGCGGAAUUCCUGGUGUAGCGGUGAAAUGCGUAGAUAUCAGGAGGAACACCGGUGGCGACGGCGGCCUGCUGGACUGCAACUGACGUUGAGGCCCGAAAUCGUGGGGAGCCAACAGGAUUUGAUACCCUUGUA